rnacentral:rRNA from 1 species
AUUGAACGCUGGCGGCAUGCUUUACACAUGCAAGUCGAGCGGCAGCGCGGGGGCAACCCUGGCGGCGAGCGGCGAACGGGUGAGUAAUGCAUCGGAACGUACCCUGGAGUGGGGGAUAACGCCGCGAAAGCGGCGCUAAUACCGCAUAUGCUCUGAGGAGGAAAGUGGGGGACCUGCAAGGGCCUCACGCUCUGGGAGCGGCCGAUGUCCGAUUAGCUAGUUGGUGGGGUAAAGGCUUACCAAGGCGACGAUCGGUAGCUGGUCUGAGAGGAUGAUCAGCCACACUGGGACUGAGACACGGCCCAGACUCCUACGGGAGGCAGCAGUGGGGAAUUUUGGACAAUGGGGCAACCCUGAUCCAGCCAUGCCGCGUGAGUGAAGAA